AUUGAACGCUGGCGGCAGGCCUAACACAUGCAAGUCGAGCGAGCGGCGGACGGGUGAGUAAUGUAUGGGGACUGCCUGAUAGAGGGGGAUAACUACUGGAAACGGUGGAUAAUACCGCAUACUAUCGGAUAACCCAUAUGGGAUUAGCGAGUAGGUGGGGUAAAGGCUCACCUAGGCGACGAUCUCUCACUGGUCUGAGAGGAUUAACAGCCACACUGGGACUGAGACACGGCCCAGACUCCGUCGGAGGCAGCAGUGGGGAAUAGGGCACAAUGGGCGCAAGCCUGAUGCAGCCAUGCCGAGUGUAUGAAGAAGGCAUUAGGGUUGUAAAGUACUUUCAGCGGGGAGGCGUUACCCGCAGAAGAAGCACCGGCUAACUCCGUGCCAGCAGCCGAGGUAAUAC
rnacentral:rRNA from 1 species